UUAUAGGCUUAAAUACCUUGAUGGCACCAAAUCUAGUCUGAUCUUAGAACCUAAACAGAGUCAUCCUUGGUUAAUACUUGGAUGUGAGAGCAUCAAGGAAAAUCAGGUGCAUCAUACU
rnacentral:rRNA from 1 species